AGAAUCACUAGUAACUUAACAAUUUCAUUUGUGGCUUGCAUUCUUAAACUCUUUUCAUCCAUGCAGGUGUCUCUUGCAUCAGACUUUAUGUACAACUAUAUGUCUAGAGAUGUUACAGCAAACUUUGGUUACGUUUAUACCCUUCGGCAGUGCCUUCUCAGAGGGGAGAUUGAUUCAAAUGGAUGUGUUGCGUCUUUCUUGGAAGAGCGCUUGAACAUGGGUCUUAGUAUUAUUCUUUCAGCCUAGCGCUUGUUCAGGUCGAUCACUAAAAGAAAGACUACAAAUUUGACUUUGGACUCACAUUUGGAGAACAGAGGAGGCAACUUAAACAGAGAUUAGGUUUAAUAUAUUAGCUUAAAAAGAGAUUAUGUCUAUGUAUAAAUCAUGGAAGAGGUGAAAUGUUUGUUAAUUUCCUUUGGCUUGGUACCAAUAGAUGUAUGUUUGUUAGUUCGAAUACGACUUGAUAUUAAUAGAAAAUGACAGUCAUCUGGUGGUGGUGUACAAAAAAAUAUGGUGAUUUAUUGGAAUUUUGUUUAGUUU